rnacentral:lncRNA from 1 species
CAACCUCAAAAACCCGAUGCACCAUUGAAGCCAGGAUGUCUUACCAGGGUGUCUCCAAGAAUAAACUAGAUGAUGAUUCCAUCCUCUGGAACAGCACACAUCUGCAGAAGCACACAUCUUCUGCAGCCUCAGCAACAGAGUGACGUGCAAACUUCUGAGUUUGGCUAAUCAGGCAGGUAAGCAGGAAUAUUUUAAAAUACUUUUAAUUUGCUUUUCUCUUAAUGCAUGUGAGAGUAAGGAACCUUGUAGAUAUUUAAGAACCACUUUCUGUUAGCAUGCUUUUGUCUCUGAAAGGCCAAUUCUUAUUUCUUGGUCCAUUUUGCCUCUUUUGAGGGGAUGGUCUGGACUGUUCUUGCCUGUUACUUUUCCUUAUGUGCUUCAAAAGAAAUGUUUCUCAGUCUAGAAAAACUUAACGGCUCCUUUUAAGUCGCAGCAAAUGCGG